CCUACGGGCGGCAGCAGUGGGGGAUAUUGCACAAUGGGGGGAACCCUGAUGCAGCGACGCCGCGUGGGUGAAGGAGUAUUUCUGUAUGUAAAGCCCUAUCGGUAGGGAAGAAUUUAGACGGUACCUGACCAAGAAGCACCGGCUAACUACGUGCCAGCAGCCGCGGUAAUACGUAGGGGGCAAGCGUUAGCCGGAUUCCCGGGGUGUAAAGGGAGCGUAGACGGCCAGGCAAGCCGGGAGUGAAAGCCCGGGGCCCAACCCCGGGACUGCUCUUGGUACUGUCCGGCUGGAGUGCGGGAGGGGCAGGCGGAAUUCCUGGUGUAGCGGUGAAAUGCGUAGAUAUCAGGAGGAACACCGGCGGCGAAGGCGGCCUGCUGGACCGCGACUGACGUUGAGGCUCGAAAGCGUGGGGAGCGAACAGGAUUAGAUACCCUUGUAGUC
rnacentral:rRNA from 1 species